UACAGAGGUCUCAAGCGUUGUUCGGAUUCAUUGGGCGUAAAGGGUGCGUAGGCGGCGCGGUAAGUCGGGUGUGAAAUCUCGGAGCUUAACUCCGAAACUGCAUUCGAUACUGGCGAUCUCGAGUCCGGGAGAGGUGAGUGGAACUGCGAGUGUAGAGGUGAAAUUCGUAGAUAUUCGCAAGAACACCAGUGGCGAAGGCGGCUCACUGGCCCGGUACUGACGCUGAGGUGCGAAAGCGUGGGGAGCAAACAGG
rnacentral:rRNA from 1 species